rnacentral:rRNA from 1 species
AUUGAACGCUGGCGGCAUGCCCUACACAUGCAAGUCGAACGGUAGAGUAGCAAUACUUGAGAGUGGCGAACGGGUGAGUAAUAUAUCGGAACGUGCCCAGUCGUGGGGGAUAACGUAGAGAAAUUUACGCUAAUACCGCAUACGAUCUAAGGAUGAAAGCGGGGGAUUCGCAAGAACCUCGCGCGAUUGGAGCGGCUGAUAUCAGAUUAGGUUGUUGGUGAGGUAAAAGCUCACCAAGCCGACGAUCUGUAGCUGGUUUGAGAGAACGACCAGCCACACUGGGACUGAGACACGGCCCAGACUCCUACGGGAGGCAGCAGUGGGGGAAUUUUUGGGACAAUGGGCGAAAGCCUGAUCCAGCAAUGCCGCGUGCAGGAAGAAGGCCUCGG